rnacentral:rRNA from 1 species
CCCGGCGACCGGCGCACGGGUGAGUAACACGUAUGAAACCUGCCCGUAGCAGGGGGAUAAGCGGAAGAAAUUCCGUCUAAUACCGCGUAACAACCCAUGGAGGCAUCUCUGUGGGUUUAAAGGAAGCGAUUCCGGCUACGGAUGGUCAUGCGUCGCAUUAGCCUGUUGGCGGGGUAACGGCCCACCAAGGCGACGAUGCGUAGGGGUUCUGAGAGGAAGGUCCCCCACACUGGUACUGAGACACGGACCAGACUCCUACGGAAGGCAGCAG